rnacentral:rRNA from 1 species
AUACGGAGGCUCCGAGCGUUAUCCGGAUUUAUUGGGUUUAAAGGGAGCGUAGAUGGGUUGUUAAGUCAGUUGUGAAAGUUUGCGGCUCAACCGUAAAAUUGCAAUUGAUACUGGUAGUCUUGAGUACAGUUGAGGUAGGCGGAAUUCGUGGUGUAGCGGAGAAAUGCUUAGAUAUCACGAAGAACUCCGAUCGCGAAGGCAGCUCACCGGGCCGGAACUGACACUGAUGCUCGAAAGUGCGGGUAUCAAACAGGAUUAGAUACCCUGGUAGUCCGCACAGUAAACGAUGAAUACUCGCUGUUUGCGAUACACGGUAAGCGGCCAAGCGAAAGCGUUAAGUAUUCCACCUGGGGAGUACGCCGGCAACGGUGAAACUCAAAGGAAUUGGCGGGG